GUUAAGAGACUAAAUAUAAACGGCGUUCCCUAGGGUUUUCGAUUUUAGUGGAGAGAUUUUUAACAGUUAAGACCCAAUGGGCUUUAGGCCCACUUGUUCGAUUAAUAUCUUGGGUUAAUUCUUUUGGUUUACUAAAGCUAAAACAAAAUCGGCCCUAUGAAUGAUGGGAAUAUGGAAUCUGUGGUUCUCGUGUGACAUCAGUGAAUCCCGAAUUUUGCUACAGAAGUUGAUUAACGAAUGACCCCACACGGUUUAGAAAAUCUUUGUCCUCUGUUUUAGCUAAGUUGGAGUAUAGAUUUGGUUCAAGUUUUUUUUGUUGUUGUUGUUGUUGCAGCUUGGUCUCUUUGUGAUGGAAGUAGUAAACAGAACAUGUUUGGAUUCUUGAAAUUUGGGUUUGUUUUCUUGAAUAUUGCAGAUCUCGUUCAAGAUCAAGAUCUUCUCUACCGCCUCCUCAUGUGUGUCCAUAAGGAAGUAAAGAAACUUCUAGGACUUUUGAAAGCCACAUCUUGUCUGAUCUUCAUCAUCAAACGAAAUAGACGACCGAGUGACCGACUGUAGUAGAAACAAACAAAAAAAAAACUAAAUGUCAUUUUACGUGUUUAUUUAGGUCAAAGAUGUUGUAACAAAACUAAGAAUGAGAUGAGACGAUGAGAACCAAAAGCAUAGAUAGCUUAUUCUUCUUAUUGAUUUUUAAAUUAGCCUUUUUAACAUAAAACAAACUGCCUCCUACUUUCUUCGGAGGACUUGUAACAACUUGAAACAAACGUCUCUUGACUAGGAGCUUAUUGCGACAACUGACUCUAAAGACCACGUACGUACGUACGUCUCCCAUAAACCAACAAUAGGAGCUUAAUUAUUUUCUACACGCAUACUUAACUAGACGAACAAGUCAUCCACGCAUGGGUAUCAAUAUGGUGGUCCAGGUGGAUGUGAAGGUCUUGAAAACAAGGUAGCUCCGGGUCCGGGCGGUGGAGGUCCUGGAGGAGGCGGUGGAGGAGGAGGGCGAGGCUCUGGGUGCGGUGGUCUUGGUGGCGGUGGGUGCAGGUAGAUAGGUGGAGGAGGAGGAG